AGUGAACGCUGGCGGUAGGCCUAACACAUGCAAGUCGAACGGCAGCACAGUAAGAGCUUGCUCUUACGGGUGGCGAGUGGCGGACGGGUGAGGAAUACAUCGGAAUCUACUUUUUCGUGGGGGAUAACGUAGGGAAACUUACGCUAAUACCGCAUACGACCUACGGGUGAAAGCAGGGGAUCUUCGGACCUUGCGCGAUUGAAUGAGCCGAUGUCGGAUUAGCUAGUUGGCGGGGUAAAGGCCCACCAAGGCGACGAUCCGUAGCUGGUCUGAGAGGAUGAUCAGCCACACUGGAACUGAGACACGGUCCAGACUCCUACGGGAGGCAGCAGUCGGGAAUAUUGGACAAAGGGCGCAAGCCUGAUCCAGCUAUACCGCGUGGGUGAAGAAGGCCUUCGGGUUGUAAAGCCCUUUUGUUGGGAAAGAAAAGCAGCAGGUUAAUACCCCGCUGUUCUGACGGUACCCAAAGAAUAAGCACCGGCUAACUUCGUG
rnacentral:rRNA from 1 species